CGACCGCCGAUGACGUCUCCUCUAUCGUGUCGAUUUGUUUGAUUUUGUGGGUAUUCAUAGUGUUCAGCAGCGAAUCAAACGAAAAUUGAGCCCAAGGAUGGAAGAAUACGACACAAGCUUCUAUUAAGGGAAAUAAUGGAUUUUGUUACAACAAUAUAAUUUGUCAAAUACAUAGGAUUAACAAGAUCAAGCAAUCAUAUAUUAAAUAUGAAAGGUCGUUCAUGGCCUCUUACUGGAGGCAAUAGAAAGCAAAAGGUUGCAUUUUCUCCAUCAACUAAUCAAUCAACAACUCGUGUUGCCCUUAAUCCCGAUUGUUCUGAGAUUUCCAAGCCAUCCAUAUCAAGUGAACCUAUCAAUGAAUUUGUUCAGUUAAAACAAGAAAUCGAGGAAUUCUUUCGACGGUUUAAGAGGGAGGAGAUCUAUUAUAACAAGGCAUCAACUGGAACUCUGCCGGCUCUACUCACCGAAUACCCAAAGCUAGAGCUACUUAUUGAAUAUGAAAAAAAGAUCUCAGAAGAUAUUGCUAAAAAAAAAA